rnacentral:rRNA from 1 species
ACGGCGAGUGAAGCGGCAAAAGCUCAAAUUUGAAAUCUGGUACCUUCGGUGCCCGAGUUGUAAUUUGGAGAGGGCAACUUUGGGGCCGUUCCUUGUCUAUGUUCCUUGGAACAGGACGUCAUAGAGGGUGAGAAUCCCGUGUGGCGAGGAGUGCGGUUCUUUGUAAAGUGCCUUCGAAGAGUCGAGUUGUUUGGGAAUGCAGCUCUAAGUGGGUGGUAAAUUCCAUCUAAAGCUAAAUAUUGGCGAGAGACCGAUAGCGAACAAGUACAGUGAUGGAAAGAUGAAAAGAACUUUGAAAAGAGAGUGAAAAAGUACGUGAAAUUGUUGAAAGGGAAGGGCAUUUGAUCAGACAUGGUGUUUUGUGCCCUCUGCUCCUUGUGGGUAGGGGAAUCUCGCAUUUCACUGGGCCAGCAUCAGUUUUGGUGGCAGGAUAAAUCCAUAGGAAUGUAGCUUGCCUCGGUAAGUAUUAUAGCCUGUGGGAAUACUGCCAGCUGGGACUGAGGACUGCGACGUAAGUCAAC